GGAGGAUGCGAGCGUUAUCCGGAUUUAUUGGGUUUAAAGGGUGCGCAGGCGGAGGCACAAGUCAGCGGUAAAAUCGCGGGUCUCAACCCCGCUCCGCCGUUGAAACUGUGUCCCUUGAGUGCGCGAAGGGUAGGCGGAAUGCGUGGUGUAGCGGUGAAAUGCAUAGAUAUCACGCAGAACUCCGAUCGCGAAGGCAGCCUACCGGCGCGCGACUGACGCUCAUGCACGAAAGCGUGGGUAUCGAA
rnacentral:rRNA from 1 species